UCGUACUUUCUCUUAUCCUCCUUGGAGGAGUAUCUUCGUUAGAACUCAUUUUUCUUUUAUCAAACUUAGAUUUCUCCAAGUGAUAGGGGUUCCUCCUGUUCUUUUUCAAGAAAAAAUCCUUUUUCAAGGGGGGUUGCCCAAACGUUUUUCAGUAAGCUUCUACCACAAGGUCGCUCGUGGUUAUGGUAUGGUUUCCCACAGACGGCGCCAAUCUGUUGACCCC
rnacentral:lncRNA from 1 species